GGAUUUAUUAGAACAGAACCAACCGGGGAUAGUUUCGGCUGUCCCUGUUGUACUCUGUGAUGACUCUGGAUAACUUCACUGAUCGCAGUCGGCCUUGUGUCGGCGACGGAUCUUUCAAAUAUCUGCCCUAUCAACUGUCGAUGGUAGGUGACCUGCCUACCAUGGUGAUAACGGGUAACGGGGAAUCAGGGUUCGAUUCCGGAGAGGGAGCCUGAGAAACGGCUACCACUUCCAAGGAAGGCAGCAGGCGCGAAAAUUACCCACUCCCGGCACGGGGAGGUAGUGACGAAAAAUACGAAUACGGGACUCAAUUGAGGCUCCGUAAUUCGAAUGAGUACACUUUAAAUCCUUUAACGAGGACCAAUUGGAGGGCAAGUCUGGUGCCAGCAGCCGCGGUAACUCCAGCUCCAAAAGCGUAUAUUAAAGUUGCUGCAGUUAAAAAGCUCGUAGUUGGAUCUGGGUCGUGUGGCCACAUACCGUUGCUCGUUCUACUGUCUUGAUUACGAUCGAGACGGGAGUACGGGUCGGUGUAGUGACCGUGCA
rnacentral:rRNA from 1 species